GACGAACGCUGGCGGCGUGCCUAACACAUGCAAGUCGAACGAGGUCCAAGGGAGCUUGCUCCCUGACGACCUAGUGGCGAACGGGUGAGUAACACGUGAGAAACCUGCCUCGGAGUGGGGAAUAACUCGGGGAAACUCGAGCUAAUACCGCAUACCUUCACAUGAUCGCAUGGUCGAGUGAAGAAAGAAUUUCGCUCUGAGAGGGUCUCGCGGCCUAUCAGCUAGUUGGUGGGGUAACGGCCUACCAAGGCAACGACGGGUAGCUGGUUUGAGAGAACGGUCAGCCACACUUGGACUGAGACACGGCCCAGACUCCUACGGGAGGCAGCAGUGGGGAAUCCUGCGCAAUGGGCGAAGGCCUGACGCAGCAACGCCGCGUGCGGGAUGACGGCCUUCGUGGUUGUAAACCGCUUUCAGCAGGGACGAAAAUGACGGUACCUGCAGAAGAAGCCCCGGCUAACUACGUGCCAGCAGCCGCCGUAAGAC
rnacentral:rRNA from 1 species